UACAGAGGUCUCAAGCGUUGUUCGGAUUCAUUGGGCGUAAAGGGUGCGUAGGCGGCGUGGAAAGUUGAGUGUGAAAUCCUAGGGCUUAACCUUAGAACUGCACUCAAUACUCCCAUGCUAGAGGAAUGUAGAGGAGAGUGGAAUUCACGGUGUAGCAGUGAAAUGCGUAGAUAUCGUGAGGAAGACCAGUUGCGAAGGCGACUCUCUGGGCAUUUCCUGACGCUGAGGCACGAAGGCCAGGGGAGCAAACGGGAUUAGAUACCCCGGUAGUCCUGGCAGUAAACGGUGCACGUUUGGUGUGGGCGGGUUCAGACCCCGUCCGUGCCGGAGCUAACGCGUUAAACGUGCCGCCUGGGAAGUACGGUCGCAAGAUUAAAACUCAAAGAAAUUGACGGGGGCCCGCACAAGCGGUGGAGUAUGUGGCUUAAUUCGAUGCAACGCGAAGAACCUUACCUGGUCUUGACAUGCAUCUCUAAGUUAGUGAAAGCUAACGAGUUUGUAGCAAUACAAACAAUUUGCACAGGUGCUGCAUGGCUGUCGUCAGCUCGUGUCGUGAGAUGUUGGGUUAAGUCCCGCAACGAGCGCAACCCUCAUGUCUUGUUGCCACUUCCACAUGUGUGAAAAGCACUCUAGACAGACUGCCUCGUCUCAACGAGGAGGAAGGUGGGGAUGACGUCAAGUCAGUAUGGCCCUUACGGCCAGGGCUGCACACGUACUACAAUGCCUAGUACAAUGGGAAGCAAUACCGCGAGGUGGAGCAAAUCCUCAAAACUGGGCCCAGUUCAGAUUGUAGUCUGCAACUCGACUACAUGAAGUCGGAAUCGCUAGUAAUGGCGCAUCAGCUACGGCGCCGUGAAUACGUUCCCAGGCCU
rnacentral:rRNA from 1 species